rnacentral:lncRNA from 1 species
ACUACAAGAAAUUAAGGGUUUUAGCCACACAUAAUUUGUGACACAUUAUUAUGUGUGGCAGUAUAGCCACACAUAAUUAAAUAUGUGUAGGUAAAUUCAUUUAACAGUUUUAAAUAAUUAAUGACAUUUAAUUAUGUGUAGGUAAAAAGAUUUAGUCACAUUUAUUUUUUAUUUUUAUUUUCCGUUUAACUCUUAAUAUAUUUUAUGCUGACGUGGAAAUUUUAGCCACACAUAAUUUGUGGCACAUAAUAAUGUGUGGCAAUACACCCACACAUAAUUGAAUAUGUGUAGGUAAAUUGAGUAGAUGAUUUUAAAUAGUUAAAGACAUUUAAUUAUGUGUGGGUAAAAAGAUUUAGUCACAUUUAUUUUUUAUUUUUAUUUUUUGUUUAAUUCUUAAUAUAAAUACAAUUACGCUGAUGUGGCAAAUUAAUAACGAUCAUUAGCUACAUCAUAAAUUUAAUUUAAGAUGUUAGAUUCAAAAUCUAGAAUAAGUAAUUCAAGUAUUGAAAUUAAAAUUGUCGGACAAGUUUCUCAAUCAUAAUUAAAAUUAAUUUCGUAAAGAUGAAAUGAAAUGAUAUAUAUAAAUUUACACUCAUGAAAAAUUAUUAAUUAUACUUUUCCAUGAAUAAUUGGUUAAAAAUUUAAAUAUGUUAUAUAUAAUAAAGUAAUAUACAAAAUAUGAUAAUUGUUGCCAAAAAAAUGCAAUUAUAUAAAAUUAUUGAAAACUAAAAGUUUAAAACAAACAUUUACCCACAAAAAUUAGAAAACAUUUUAUUUUACCGCUAAUCUUCACAAAACGUUUUCAUUUUACCGCCAGAUGCUAAAACCCUCCACAUAUUCGGCAGUUACUCCAAGCGAUCCCCACAUCCCUCUCCAAAUACUCCAAACAAAGCUCUAAUUUUUCCUUUCAUGGGCUGUUUAUCGGGAGACGACAGCGCGAUAAGGAUAGGCGAUGAGGUGCCGUUGAAGUUGAGGUUGGAGGAAGUGGAGGGGGGCGGCGACCUGGUGGUGGAUUUCGGCGAUCCAGGGGCAUUGGUGGGAGACGGCGUUGCGGCGGAGAGGCUCCUACCCUAGAUCUGGGUCAUUGUAUUUUUUUAAAUUUGAUUUUAGUAGUAUUAUUGUUAAUUGUUUGAUCAAUGUUUUCUUGAUUGUGGUAGAUUUGAGUCGUAGAAGGGGAUGAUCUUCUGAGGCUUUUUCUCACCAUGGAGUCAGUUAUCUCUUUCUCCCCUCCCCUCUCUCUCCACUUAGAAUUCAAGCUCAAGUUAUAAUACUUGCAUUAUAUAUAUAUGCAGUGAAACUAGCCUGCAAUAGCAAUUGGAGCAGCAUUUGGAAACUGUCUCUGAGCUUCAUCCAUUCCGGCUUCUUUGGGGGAAGAAGACAAGGUGAGCACUGGUUUGGAACUUCUUCUGCUUCUUUGCAUUCUCACACAUUAAUUUCAAGUAAAAUGUCAUCUCUCAAAUAAGAUUUGAUUUAUGUAAUUAGAUUGAAUUGGCGUUGACAAAUCUUGCUUUAUCUUCCUUUAUAUAUGCUGAUAGAAACAAAAAUAUGUUUAACUAACUGGUGAAGAACUAUUAUUGGAGGGAUUGUUGCUGACUAUUCUUGCAACUAUAGGAAAUGGCUCAUGUUUUCAGCUUUGUAGGAGUGUCAGCUUAUCACUUUGUAAAUUGUGUAGAAAUAUGUAGUGUAAAAAUAUUGGUAAAUUAAGAUGUGGCUUCAUUAAAUGUAAAUUGUGUCGAACUAUUGUUGGUUGUUUUGUUUGUUUGUUUAGCUAGCAAACUUUACCAAUUGAUGCAUCAAAUGGUUUGAGGGAUUUUGAAUAAAUAUGAUAUCAAGUCUUUUUUCGACUUUGAAGUAUUUGAUUUAUUCAUCCCCUACAGGAAAGAAAUUUGGCUUUAAAUGCAUCAUAUUUCCUAAAAGCUGGUGGCCACUUUGUCAUAUCUAUCAAGGUUUGUAUCUCUGAUUUCUUUUAAUGUCUGAUAGCUUAAUAGUAAGAAUCACUAAGCUUAAUAUUUCUGAUGUUCUUCUUAAGGUCUAAAAAUCAUAAGGCACGAAACUAAUGUAUAUGUAUUUCACUCAAUAUAAAUGUUGUUCUCACAUAAAGAAGUGAUUUUUUAAAAUCUUGUUGGGGAAAUAAUUUAUAGCCCAGCAACUUUGUUUUAUCCACUCGAACUCACUCUUGCUUCUUCUAGCUUGAGAAUUGAUUCUUUUAAAAACUGAAAUCACUUAAUGGAUUAAACUAACAAUUGGAGCAAUUAUAUUUUUUAGGUUAUUUUAACUUUGUUAUAUGUACUUUACAAUAUGUUAAAUUGUGUAUAUUGACUAAUAUUGUGUUUCUCUUAUCUUGACAGGAGUAAUUGAAAAAGUUAUCAUGAUGGUUAACCAAUGUUCAACUAUUCUAAUGUACAAUGGAAUUGCUUUUGAUCAAGAGCUCGAAGAAAAUUAUCAGUCCUAGAUUAAUCGCGAGUUGUAGAUUAAGUGCUUAGUUAUUUAGAUAUUUAUAAUUAUAUGUAGUUAGUCAUUUCGCACAUAUACUUUGAUUUUGUUGAAUAUUUUUUAUGUAAAUGUUUUGUAUGAUAUUCUUGUUAUAUUUAAUGUGUUGAGUAUUAUAUUUAAUUUUUUAUUUUUGAUUGUAAUUAUGAUUAUGAUUAUAUUAUAGUUGACUAAUAAAAUAUAAUAUUUGAAAAUAGUAAUAUCUUUUCUAAAAUUCAAUUACAAAAAAAAAUAUUUUUCUCCACACAUAUAAAUAUACCUUUAGUAAGCACAGGUCCUUCAAGUAAAACCCUGUGUGUUAUUGUUGGCAGUACAAUAAAUAAUAUAAAAUGUUAUGUUUCCGGCAUAUGUUCACUGAGUAUUUUUUACUCAGCCCUGCAUGUUGUUUCCCUAAUGUGCAGGUUGAGCGGGUAAUGGAAUGGAGUGGAGUUGAGCGGAUGUACCCUUGUGACGUAGAACAGUAAUGUAACCUUGAGUAUACAUCUUCAUAUGUAUAACUCACACGUAUUUCCGCUGCAAGAUACUCUGAUUAUGCUAGUGUUUUAUUUUAAGUAUGAUACUCUUUUGUUGGGUAAUCCACUUCGACGGGCCUUCCCGAACGAACGUCUUGUUUUUGCUCAAGUGAUCAGUUAUGAUCCUAGUGUUAUAUAAUAAAUGUCUCUUUUCGUAAAAUGUUUGAUUGUUAAGUAAAUGCCCAUUUCUUUCCCCGCUUCUUAAUCCCCUUCCCGAGUCAUAACCCCGGUUAAGCUAUCCUUAGGGAUUGCGGGCUGUGACAGGGGACCACCAUUAUAGCACCAACUUAAGCACCUCCCAUUGGAGAUGCUCUUAGGUGGUAAAAUUAAUCCAUGAACGACUCGAGCAUGACAUCUCUAUUUACUAUUCCAAAUCUUUUUGCCCUUGUAUAUUUGCAACUUCACCGGAAGACCAUGGAUUUGUUUAUACUCUCUCCCUCUCAUAAGAGAGUAUCAUUUGGAGAUGACACGAAUUUUAAGAAAAAGAUUAGUAAAUAAUUAUGUUGAGUGCAAAAUGAAUAAUUGUGGAUUUAUAUAAAAAUGAGUGGUUGUAAAUAAGAAGAGAAAGUGAAGUCAUGUCCCAAAAUGAAAAUGAUACUUUCUUAUGGAACACAUAAAAAUGAAAAAUAUGAUAUUUUUUUGGGCAAAUUGCAUGAAAAUACCCCACUUUUUUUCAAAUUUGAUUUUUUGACAAACUUUUUUUUUGUUGCAAAAAUUUGAACGAGCUUUCAAUUUGUUGCAAUGUCCGGCCCGUUAAAUUUUCGGGCCAAAUGAAUGCCAACGUGGCAUUAAAAAUGCCACAUCACACUCACAAACCCCCACGUCACCCUCUCUCCCUCUCUCUCUCCACGACCUGUUUCGCCCCCCUCCAAAUUCUCCCAUCGUCUCUCCCGCUCCCUACUUUUCUCAAAUCGCCAGUUCUCAUCGUCUCUCCUGCUUCCUCAUUUUCUCAAAUCGCCGGUCGCCGUUCUUCUGAGAACAAAACAGGUAGUGGUGUCCAAAUGGAAACCAGUGCCGCCGCCUGAGAAAAUGGGGUGAGCCCUAAUUCGCUUGCUCGCCGCUCUUCGGCUAGAGAAAACGUCGGCCCUCAAGCCGGUGGACCCGAGAAUUUGGGCGUGGAAAACAGGGAGUCGGAGAUGGUGAUGUGGGGAGACCCGAGAAUCUGGACANGUGUAGAAAUAUGUAGUGUAAAAAUAUUGGUAAAUUAAGAUGUGGCUUCAUUAAAUGUAAAUUGUGUCGAACUAUUGUUGGUUGUUUUGUUUGUUUGUUUAGCUAGCAAACUUUACCAAUUGAUGCAUCAAAUGGUUUGAGGGAUUUUGAAUAAAUAUGAUAUCAAGUCUUUUUUCGACUUUGAAGUAUUUGAUUUAUUCAUCCCCUACAGGAAAGAAAUUUGGCUUUAAAUGCAUCAUAUUUCCUAAAAGCUGGUGGCCACUUUGUCAUAUCUAUCAAGGUUUGUAUCUCUGAUUUCUUUUAAUGUCUGAUAGCUUAAUAGUAAGAAUCACUAAGCUUAAUAUUUCUGAUGUUCUUCUUAAGGUCUAAAAAUCAUAAGGCACGAAACUAAUGUAUAUGUAUUUCACUCAAUAUAAAUGUUGUCUGACAUAAAGAAGUGAUUUUUUAAAAUCUUGUUGGGGAAAUAAUUUAUAGCCCAGCAACUUUGUUUUAUCCACUCGAACUCACUCUUGCUUCUUCUAGCUUGAGAAUUGAUUCUUUUAAAAAUUGAAAUCACUUAAUGGAUUAAACUAACAAUUGGAGCAAUUAUAUUUUUUAGGUUAUUUUAACUUUGUUAUAUGUACUUUACAAUAUGUUAAAUUGUGUAUAUUGACUAAUAUUGUGUUUCUCUUAUCUUGACAGGAGUAAUUGAAAAAGUUAUCAUGAUGGUUAACCAAUGUUCAACUAUUCUAAUGUACAAUGGAAUUGCUUUUGAUCAAGAGCUCGAAGAAAAAUUAUCAGUCCUAGAUUAAUCGCGAGUUGUAGAUUAAGUGCUUAGUUAUUUAGAUAUUUAUAAUUAUAUGUAAUUAGUCAUUUCGCACAUAUACUUUGAUUUUGUUGAAUAUUUUUUAUGUAAAUGUUUUGUAUGAUAUUCUUGUUAUAUUUAAUGUGUUGAGU